AUUGAACGCUGGCGGCAGGCCUAACACAUGCAAGUCGAGCGGAGCGGAGGACGGGUGGGUAAUGCCUGGGAAUCUGCCUGGUAGUGGGGGAUAAAUUCCGGAGACAGGCGCUAAUACCGCAUACUAUCAGAUGAGCCUAGGUAGGAUGAGCUAGUUGGUGGGGUAAGGUCCUACCAAGGCGACGAUCCGUCACUGGUCUGAGAGGAUGAUCAGUCACACGUGAACUGAGACACGGGCCAGACUCCUACGGGAGGCAGCAGUGGGGAAUAUUGGACAAUGGGCGAAAGCCUGAUCCAGCCAUGCCGCGUGUGUGAAGAAGGCCUUCGGAUUGUAAAGCACUUUAAGUUGGGAGGCGUUACCCACAGAAUAAGCACCGGCUAACUCCGUGCCAGCAGCCGCGGUAAUAC
rnacentral:rRNA from 1 species